AGAACGAACGCUGGCGGCGUGGAUUAGGCAUGCAAGUCGAACGCGAAAGAGGGAGCAAUCCCUCGAGUAGAGUGGCGAACGGGUGAGUAACGCGUGAAGAACCUGCCUUCAACAGGGGGAUAACACUCCCAACGGGGUGCUAAUACCGCAUGAGACCACGGGGUCGCAUGGCCCUGAGGUCAAAGGUGGCCUCUAUUUAUAAGCUACGGUUGAAGAUGGCUUCGCGUCCCAUUAGCUAGUUGGCGGUGUAAAAGCCACAAGGCGACGAUGGGUAGCUGGGUCUAGAGAGGUAUGGUCAGCCACACGUGGGACUGAGAGUACCGGCCCAAGACCUCCGUAACGGGAGCCAGGCAGGUACGAG
rnacentral:rRNA from 1 species